CAACGUGCUUUGUUUUCGGGAAAACUUCAAUAAUAAGCUAACGGACCAUCCUGCCAUAACAGGACACACCGCAGGGGGUGGCGAAGUGGGUGUAGUGAUUUGCAUGUCCGCCUCAUGCUGUCAGGUUCAGAGUUUGAAUCUGGGAUGCCGGCUUCGUUAAAUUAUCCAUACAUAGGAAUCUAAGUCUAAAUUCCUGAUUUUUUUUUUUUUUUUAAUAUUUGAUGUUGCACUUUCCACCCCGAAUAACACGCCUGGUAAGAGCGCUGUGCAAAAUUAAAAUAUUAAUUCACACUUUGGAAGAUGUGAGUGUCCCUGACGCAGAGUGGUGUUGUUAUUAGCGUCUGGGGGUAGGGCGUAGCCUCCCGCAGUCGUGCAAAUGCACAAUAACAAGGCAGUCGACUCAUGGCCGCUCCACACCGAACAUCUGGAGGUGUGCGACACCACCAAAGUUUUUUGUGCCUGCUUAAAAGUCGGGACAAUCAGGGCCAACAAGCUACUUCAAGUCAAAUGAUUGCUCCAUGAAAUUUGCAUGGGACUAUUUUUGUUUCAUCCAAUACGAUUUCUGCUUCUAUAUGUUGCUGUGACAAUUUCAUCGGCCCAGUGUAUUAGAAAUGGGACAGUUUGAGCCAAAUCAGCCUUCGUGGUCAAAAGUUGUGAUUUUGGAGAUGAAACGGUUUGGACAGACAAGAACAGUAUUAGUAUUGACUGUUUUCCAGUUUUGCUGGUUUCUAGUUGUGACAUGGUAAUUGAAAGUGGAUCAUAUCUCAGGUACCAAACACACUUUAAGCUUAACCAGUUAUAUCGCAGACUUUUUCUUUUUUUGUUUAGCUGACAUUAUAACAAAGUCUCCUGGAACGUUGAUAUAACUGUUCCCAAAUGCUGAAUUAACUCUUUUUUCCCCCUCCUCUCUGUGGAGUCUGGAAGCGUUCCUGCGCAACAUGGUGUGAACUGCCUUUCCCACAAGUUCUAACGUCAAACAGACGUGAGCCAACCUCGUAGCGAUCGUUCACAUCGGCCGACGAGCGGCGGGAGGAGGAAAAAGGAGGCUCAUCGCAUUCAUGACGCUCAAAGAAUGUCCUCGCGCAGAUGUUUUUCUACUCGACCUUUAGGACGACCUGGAGCUGCGCAACGGCCGCCCAUAUGUGCCGAGACUUUCCACUGCUGUGAUUUCAUACGGAAGAGUGGACUGCGGAUGUUGCAACAGGCCCGCCUCACCAUCGCGCUCAAAUUUCUCGCACCUUGUACUGGUUGAUUUCCUCCUGCAGGAUCUCAUCAGCGUCGGAGUACACCU